rnacentral:misc_RNA from 1 species
CUGAGUUACAACCUCCCAACCCUUUGUGAACAUACCUAUACUGUUGCUUCGGCGGGUACCAGCCGCGCCCCGUAAAAAGGGACGGCCCGCCCUCCCCGCGGGGGCCCCCGAUACAACUCUGAUUUUAGUGAACUUCUUCUGAGUAAACACAGCAAAUAAAUCA